UCCUACGGGAGGCAGCAGUGAGGAAUAUUGGUCAAUGGGCGAGAGCCUGAACCAGCCAAGUCGCGUGAAGGAUGACUGUCUUAUGGAUUGUAAACUUCUUUUAUACGGGAAUAACAAGAGUCACGUGUGGCUCCCUGCAUGUACCGUAUGAAUAAGCAUCGGCUAACUCCGUGCCAGCAGCCGCGGUAAUACGGAGGAUGCGAGCGUUAUCCGGAUUUAUUGGGUUUAAAGGGUGCGUAGGCGGCCUGUUAAGUCAGCGGUGAAAUCUAGGAGCUUAACUCCUAAAUUGCCAUUGAUACUGGCGGGCUUGAGUGUAGAUGAGGUAGGCGGAAUGCGUGGUGUAGCGGUGGAAUGCAUAGAUAUCACGCAGAACUCCGAUUGCGAAGGCAGCUUACUAAGGUACAACUGACGCUGAAGCACGAAAGCGUGGGUAUCAAACAGGAUUAGAUACCCUGGUAGUCC
rnacentral:rRNA from 1 species